rfam:Synergistetes sp. SGP1 draft genome.
AACAGAGUAGGCCAUGCGCGUCAAGUGUCUGCAGAUGGGAUGUCGCUGUGGAACGAAACGAGGGAUCGUACGGUGCAUGGUCGCGUCCGCUGUU